UGUGAGCUCGAUGAGUAGGGCGGGACACGUGGUAUCCUGUCUGAAUAUGGGGGGACCAUCCUCCAAGGCUAAAUACUCCUGACUGACCGAUAGUGAACCAGUACCGUGAGGGAAAGGCGAAAAGAACCCCGGCGAGGGGAGUGAAAAAGAACCUGAAACCGUGUACGUACAAGCAGUGGGAGCACGCUUAGGCGUGUGACUGCGUACCUUUUGUAUAAUGGGUCAGCGACUUAUAUUCUGUAGCAAGGUUAACCGAAUAGGGGAGCCGAAGGGAAACCGAGUCUUAACUGGGCGUUAAGUUGCAGGGUAUAGACCCGAAACCCGGUGAUCUAGCCAUGGGCAGGUUGAAGGUUGGGUAACACUAACUGGAGGACCGAACCGACUAAUGUUGAAAAAUUAGCGGAUGACUUGUGGCUGGGGGUGAAAGGCCAAUCAAACCGGGAGAUAGCUGGUUCUCCCCGAAAGCUAUUUAGGUAGCGCCUCGUGAAUUCAUCUCCGGGGGUAGAGCACUGUUUCGGCAAGGGGGUCAUCCCGACUUACCAACCCGAUGCAAACUGCGAAUACCGGAGAAUGUUAUCACGGGAGACACACGGCGGGUGCUAACGUCCGUCGUGAAGAGGGAAACAACCCAGACCGCCAGCUAAGGUCCCAAAGUCAUGGUUAAGUGGGAAACGAUGUGGGAAGGCCCAGACAGCCAGGAUGUUGGCUUAGAAGCAGCCAUCAUUUAAAGAAAGCGUAAUAGCUCACUGGUCGAGUCGGCCUGCGCGGAAGAUGUAACGGGGCUAAACCAUGCACCGAAGCUGCGGCAGCGACGCUUAUGCGUUGUUGGGUAGGGGAGCGUUCUGUAAGCCUGCGAAGGUGUGCUGUGAGGCAUGCUGGAGGUAUCAGAAGUGCGAAUGCUGACAUAAGUAACGAUAAAGCGGGUGAAAAGCCCGCUCGCCGGAAGACCAAGGGUUCCUGUCCAACGUUAAUCGGGGCAGGGUGAGUCGACCCCUAAGGCGAGGCCGAAAGGCGUAGUCGAUGGGAAACAGGUUAAUAUUCCUGUACUUGGUGUUACUGCGAAGGGGGGACGGAGAAGGCUAUGUUGGCCGGGCGACGGUUGUCCCGGUUUAAGCGUGUAGGCUGGUUUUCCAGGCAAAUCCGGAAAAUCAAGGCUGAGGCGUGAUGACGAGGCACUACGGUGCUGAAGCAACAAAUGCCCUGCUUCCAGGAAAAGCCUCUAAGCAUCAGGUAACAUCAAAUCGUACCCCAAACCGACACAGGUGGUCAGGUAGAGAAUACCAAGGCGCUUGAGAGAACUCGGGUGAAGGAACUAGGCAAAAUGGUGCCGUAACUUCGGGAGAAGGCACGCUGAUAUGUAGGUGAAGUCCCUCGCGGAUGGAGCUGAAAUCAGUCGAAGAUACCAGCUGGCUGCAACUGUUUAUUAAAAACACAGCACUGUGCAAACACGAAAGUGGACGUAUACGGUGUGACGCCUGCCCGGUGCCGGAAGGUUAAUUGAUGGGGUUAGCGCAAGCGAAGCUCUUGAUCGAAGCCCCGGUAAACGGCGGCCGUAACUAUAACGGUCCUAAGGUAGCGAAAUUCCUUGUCGGGUAAGUUCCGACCUGCACGAAUGGCGUAAUGAUGGCCAGGCUGUCUCCACCCGAGACUCAGUGAAAUUGAACUCGCUGUGAAGAUGCAGUGUACCCGCGGCAAGACGGAAAGACCCCGUGAACCUUUACUAUAGCUUGACACUGAACAUUGAGCCUUGAUGUGUAGGAUAGGUGGGAGGCUUUGAAGUGUGGACGCCAGUCUGCAUGGAGCCGACCUUGAAAUACCACCCUUUAAUGUUUGAUGUUCUAACGUGGACCCGUAAUCCGGGUUGCGGACAGUGUCUGGUGGGUAGUUUGACUGGGGCGGUCUCCUCCUAAAGAGUAACGGAGGAGCACGAAGGUUGGCUAAUCCUGGUCGGACAUCAGGAGGUUAGUGCAAUGGCAUAAGCCAGCUUGACUGCGAGCGUGACGGCGCGAGCAGGUGCGAAAGCAGGUCAUAGUGAUCCGGUGGUUCUGAAUGGAAGGGCCAUCGCUCAACGGAUAAAAGGUACUCCGGGGAUAACAGGCUGAUACCGCCCAAGAGUUCAUAUCGACGGCGGUGUUUGGCACCUCGAUGUCGGCUCAUCACAUCCUGGGGCUGAAGUAGGUCCCAAGGGUAUGGCUGUUCGCCAUUUAAAGUGGUACGCGAGCUGGGUUUAGAACGUCGUGAGACAGUUCGGUCCCUAUCUGCCGUGGGCGCUGGAGAACUGAGGGGGGCUGCUCCUAGUACGAGAGGACCGGAGUGGACGCAUCACUGGUGUUCGGGUUGUCAUGCCAAUGGCACUGCCCGGUAGCUAAAUGCGGAAGAGAUAAGUGCUGAAAGCAUCUAAGCACGAAACUUGCCCCGAGAUGAGUUCUCCCUGACUCCUUGAGAGUCCUGAAGGAACGUUGAAGACGACGACGUUGAUAGGCCGGGUGUGUAAGCGCAGCGAUGCGUUGAGCUAACCGGUACUAAUGAACCGUGAGGCUUAACCUU
rnacentral:rRNA from 1 species